AAAAAAAAUCAAACAGUAUACUUCCAGGAACCCAUGCCAAUAAAGCUUCUUUUGUUGGGAAUUUUUCUGACGUGGUAAAUGAAUGGACAAAUAAAUUUGCAACAGGAAAAAAUUGACACUUAAGUGUCGAAAAUAAUGGACAAAUUCGACACUUAAGUGUUGAAAUAUGACUUAUAUAAUAAUUGAUAUUAUAUAUUUUCGACGGGUAACUGUCGAAUUUCACCACUAUUUUCGACACGUAAGGGUCGAAAAUGAGGAUAAAUUCGACAGUUACCCGUCGAAAAGAUAUAAUAUCAAUUAUUAUGUGUUUCGACACAUACAUGUCGAAAAAUAAGCACACUUUCGACCUGUAUGUGUCGAUAUUUUAUGGCGGAUUUUAAAAAAUAAAAUAAAAUCAAAAUCGACGUUUUAGCUUAAAAAAUACAUGGAUAUAUAUCUUAAUGGGUUCUCCUUGCUCGUAAGCUACCAUUCUAUUGUCAUUUGACGUCAUUUUGCAAGUUGUGUAAGGUUUUGAUUUCUUUAGUUUUGAGGUUUUUUAGGAGGGUUUUUGGGGGAGGGAGAAAGAGGUGGAGGAGGUGAGGGGUUUGUGAGUGAGGAGGGAAAUAGAUUUUGAGGGGUUUUGAUUAUUUGGUAUUGAAGAAAGAAAAAUAAUAUUUGUAAUAUUUUUUUGAUUUUUAUUUUCAUUAUGGGUAUUAAAAUAAUUUACUAUUAAUUAUUUAUUUUUUUAUUUGUUCGGUAUUUUUUUCUUUUUUUGAGGAUAUUUGUUCGGUAUUCAACUAAGCAAAAGUUGGGAUUCGUUAUAGUUAUCCCCUAAUAAAAUAUGUUGUUAUUCAAUCUUAAUUAUCGGGCAACUUAACUGCUCUAGUUAGACUUAGGAUUAGGAAUGUAGAAAUUGGCAUAAAUUAAGCCGCGUGGUAAAUUUUCUUUUGUUUAUUUUCUUUUCGUUUCAUUUCCAUAAAAAAAUAUUAUAUUUAAAAAAUAAGUUGGGUUUUUUUUAUAUAAAAGCCAACAUAAGUGUCAAACAAGAGAAUAAUAUUAUUUAUUUUAUUUUCACGAUUAAACAAUUAUUCUCUGUUAUAUUAUUUAUUUUAUUUAUCUAUACUUGAUUAUCAACUUUAGGGUAAUUUCAUAGUAAUUAUGUAAUAAUUAAAUAAA